rnacentral:lncRNA from 1 species
GCCUUUCCAAUCCCUGUGUUUUCAGCUUUAUGAACAUCCUAUACCAAGCAGGUCAAACACUCCCAUCAGAGCAAGCUCCUGAACAGCUAAACACAAAACCUUCACAAUGACCCACUUCUUUCAUACAAAUAUGACUUUAUAUCCUUGUUUUGCAAACCAAUUCCUUUUGGACAUACAUCUGACUUAGAUUUCAGCUUACAAAAACUCCAGGUUCCAUGUGUACACUUUCAUAUUGAAUCCUACCCAUGUGGAAAAUACUUGUUAUCACUGCAUUAUCCUUAUGGGGGGAAAAAACCCAAACAAAAUACGCUUCUGCUUAAACUCAAAUAACUAGUUAAGUUUUUUUUUAAAACAAACCAAAAAGGCCUACACAUAAAAACAAAACCAACAUUUCUGUGGAGUGCUUUUAGUCUCUCUGGAAGUGUCUAGCUAGUUAGCUGACUGUCUUACUUGUAAAAAUUUAAUAAGGAACUAAUCCCUUUCCAAAACUCAGAGCUCUCUCAGCUCUAUCAGUGAUGCUUCUUCACAGUGGCACUUCAGAACCACCACUUUUGCAGUCACAGAAAUUCAUCUCAUGAGUUGUACUUCACAGCUCCUAAUCAUAAAUUUCUUGAUUUAUCUAAAAGAGUGCCCCCCCCCCCCCUUUAAGGCUCUAGUAAAUUAUGCUUAGCCUUUCCAUAGAUAAUUUGACGAGAUUCAAAUGUCCUUUCAAAGAAACCAAACAGAUCCUCGUUCAUUCAUGAACUGAAACUCAGCAUGUACUUUUUUGGCAGACAGAUAGGCACAGAAAACAGAUGGAGAUUAAAAAAAAAAACAAACAAAAAAAAAAGCUUGAUUUUGUAUUUCUCCAGGACCCAGUUCUGCCAGAUCUUUCAUGGAUUUCCUCACAGUUGUUUUGCUGAGAUACUAUUGUCCACAACCAUUGAAAGUAGUCAAAAUAAUCCUCAUCCAUAAUAGGUUUAAUGUCUGAGCCAAAACCUGACUCCUCCAAGUGGAUGUUAAUAUCACUGAGCAUCAGAAUAAUUCAGGAUGUAACUUGCUGGGGCUGUACUUCCAAUGAGCACAGGUGAACAUGCCCUUACUUGGCUCACUCUAUGUAUAAUUUUCUAGCUGGCAAUCACAUGAAUUGGUAGCACACUGACACAGAGGCGCUGCCCAUGAACAGCAUCUGCUCUUAGAUAUUGGAAGAUGGGCAUCUCACUCAGCAACAGAGCUCACUGCGUUCUUGCAAGCACAAUGAAAAAGCACUUCUUGAAAGAAGUGUGAACGUGUGCAUGGGAGAACAGCACACAAAUACACAUUGGAUUUCCAAGUCUUACUGGAUGCACAGGAAAAAAGAAACAAUUAAAACCACAUGUUUUAAUUUUCUUUGAAUCCUAGAAGACCUACUGUGCUCCAUUUGCUAUUGUUCCUUGCAAUAGCGACGCAUAACAACCUCUAUUUCUUUGCUAUCAAGAGUUGCCAAAUUAUCAUAAGAAUACACUGCAGUAUGUAGCUGUCCUUAUAGAACAAAAUGAGUGCCAAACACCUAAAAUUCAUGUGUCCAGAAAAAUUUUUAAAAGUUUUCUUGGGUUCAAGGGAUAACUCAAAAGAAGCCAUAGGAUCAGUAAAGUGAAACUUAAAAGGAAAAACUAAGGGUACUUUUUUUAUUAACUUUUCACCCUUCUCAUAAAAAAAAAAAGGUAUUAUUGCACUUACAAAGUGAAUCUAAAUUGACCACACCACUUAAAACCAAAUAUAAACAUAUUCUUUCCCAAAACAUUUCUUCCUUAAAGGUUUUGUUGUUGGGGGGCAAGGAGGAGAAUGUUUGGUUAUUUGGGGGUUUUUGGGGUUUUUGCUUUGCUCCCAGUGUACUGCUUGGGCUAUGAAAGUGAAAUACAAUCAAUUCUAUGUAUACAUAUGUAAAAAUUCUAUGUCUAUCAAUAAAAUCAAUUCUAUGUGUAUCAAUAAAGAGUUCCAAACACACAUAGAUGUCUUCCCUUCUGCAAGUUAAGGAAUGCACAAGUUUCCCAUCAAUGCAAUAAAAAAUACAGUUAGUGGCUAAACCUUUUUUAAACAGUGUCAACAAUUUUGUCUUUUUUUUUAAACACUGUAGGUUUCAAGUGUAAGAAAAAAAUUAUACAAACCCCAUAAUGUAUAUCACAUAUUUCAGUACAACUCCAAACCUGUCUCACUUCUAAUCCCCUAUAUAAUAUGUAAAAUACUGAACUGUAUAAUUUUCCAAUGUUAUUCUACUGUGAAAAGCUAAUUAAUUCAGAAGAUUGAAAAAAAAAUUGUUUUUUUUUUAACAAGGUAAUUGAUAACAAUUCAUUUACAGCUGUAGACAAAGAACUUUCCUGAGAAUGCUUAGUAGAUGUUAAAAAAAUAAAAGUAUCAGAAAAUCUAUUGCAAGAGAGAAACAAAUAUAAAUAAUCAUGAAGAAUAAAAUUUUAAAAAGAGAGAGAACUGAUGAAGGAUGAGAAGAUUAUUAGCUUUGACUGGAAGGACUUAUGUUUAUCAUCACCUAUAUUUUAUCUACUAGUCAGUCCAGGGGUUUGAUUCCCAGAGGUAUGUCUGUCUCUCUCUCGGCAUCAUGCUUCAAGGCAGUAGAUAAUACAAAGUGGAACUGUAGUUAAAAUUCUUAUUACGUGCUAGUUUCCCUACUGUUGCCUCUAAGGCAAAAAGAGGCCACUGAGCUCUAUUGUAUUGAAGCUUUCAAAUGCAAUUUCAGCCUAAUGCUUCGCAUUAAUAUGUGGCAUCUCUGAGUGCUCUGCUCUACUGCUGAAGGAAAGAAUGACUCAGGUACUGUGAGAGGCACAUCUGUGAUUAAAUAUGGCAGUGGUAUUUAUGCUGCAAAGCCACUGGCAAAACAGCUUAAAAAUUAAUGAGAAGAAAGUUUCACCACAAAAAUGGCGGAGCCAAUUUAUGUAGACAGAUUGACAGUGCCCCAAAGAGAGAGGAAACAGAAAUUAGUCUACCAUCCACACUUCUGCAGAUAUUGUUAAGUUCUCCUUAAUAAAUAGAGUUGUACAUAGACAUUAAUCUCUACCAUGAACAUACAGCUUACUCAGUCAUGUUAUGCUAUAUAACUUGAGAUGAUGAGAUCUCCCAAACAGAUAUUGACCCAAUUUAUACCUGCAUGUCUUCUAGCAACUGAUUAUACUAUUUGUGAGUACAAACUUAGAGAUUAGUGUCCAGAGCAGAAAAUGUUUUAUUUUCAUUUUCCUCUCCAUAAAUUUAAAAAUUUUAGUUUAGUCUUUUGAACUUAGCAAAUUUAGUCUUACAGAAUGUGAUGGCUCUCCUAAAGCUAUCCCACUAUAUAAAUGCAGACACGGAAAUACUUGUUGUUUCUACAAAUGCUGUAUAUUAAGAGAGACAGCAAUAAGAAUGAUGUAAAAAAUUGCAGCUCCUUAUCCUAAAAGCCCAGCUAAUGCAGUUUAAAAGUUAUAAAAUGGGAAUUAAAAGAAACUCAGAGUUUAAUAAUUUGUCAACUUUUUUUUUUUAAGUGUUACCAAUCUCUACCAAUAAUAACACCUACAUAAAACACUACAGCUGUUUCCAGAACAGUAUUUUCUUUACUGUUAGCCAGCUUCCCUUUCAUGAAUCACACAAUGGAAAUUUAGAAAAGUUUUAGUACAAUAUAUAAAAAAAUAUUUUUAAGUUAUGAAACUUUAAAUUUAAAAAGAACUGCACUCCAGAGUUUGAAUUUAGUAUCAAAGAACCAUAAUAAAAUAAAAGAUAGCCUGAUGUCUAAGAAUGAUUUCUUAUAUAAACUAUUCAAUAUGCCUACAUAUAUACAUCACUUUGGGCCCCAUUUCUAAAACCCAUCCUAUGGCAGUAAUCCAAAUGAAAAGAGUAUUAAAUAUUGAUCCAAGUUAAGAUAAAAGCCAAGUCCCCAUUCAAAAUUUUACCAGUCAGAUUUGGGUUUUAUUUUUACAGUCUUGUAUUCUAUCUUACUCUUCAAAAUCUGUUAAGGACAAACCUAUUUUUUGCCUAUAUAAAUUAAUCCAAGCUCAGACUGAAUGACUGAACUUACGACUUAGCACUUCUAUUUUGGUUCACAGAGAGUAGAUUUACUUCUGUCAUUCUUUGCUACAAUCUCUGCAUCCCUCUGCAAUGACCCUCCACACAGAUCUCUUCUGCACAAAUUAAGUUACUACUUCUGCUUCUCCUCCCCAGCCCACCCCCAUCACGUGGAAGGGCACAUAGAAGUGGAGAAGGCUCAUGUGGAAAAUGCACACAGAUGUAGUAAAGCAGUGUGUUUGUUUUUCAGAAGGGGGAAAAGGUAAGGACUCACAUUAAUUGGACAAGAUGCCUGUUAGAAUUGUCACAGACUCUCUAAACCGAUCAGAGUGCAUUAAAUUUUCAAGCAAGUGGGCAAUUAGCACAAUAUACCACCCUCCUGUACCUAGGGCACAGGAUUGUCACUUUACACCUCAUUGUUAAGCCUGGUCAGCUAAAAGCCAUCUAAUUUUCCCAUAUUUUCUGAACAAAACCAAAAUAGGGUUAUGAACCACUAAUUAUCUUGGUUUAAAAACUGCUGAAACUGGAAUAAACCCUCUGCUUAUGAGCAAUCCUGUUUGCUCCUGAACAAAUCUUACCUGAGAAAAAGAAGAAAAGAAGGGAGAGGUGUAUUAUUUAUUUGUUUGGGUUUGUUUUUUAAAUUGUGGCCAUCUUUGUUACAGGUCUCAAGAGGAGGGUCUGUGAGCUCAGGGCCACAUUGAACAGAUGUCAGCAGAUGAGCAGGCUCAAGUGCUCAGGCAGACAGGGCACAUCUGUGGGGAACAGGACACUUGCAUUCCUGCCUCUGGUCUUGCAGAGACACUUCAGGAAAGAUAAAAGGCCGGGGUAAAUAAAUACGGUUUUAUACUGAAUCAGUUCUUUUCUCAAAGCACAUACUAA